ensembl:lncRNA
AGACAGAUAACAGGGGACCAGUGACCCCCCUCUGGAAAGGAGUCCUCCACAGAUGGAGGAGGGUGGAGGAAACACCCGCAGCACCGCUGGAUCCAACGCGAUGGAGGACGUGGUGACCAAAAAACGUCGGAAAAGAAAUAAGGAACGAGCAGCAGGCGGCUCCAGCAGGAGGAGCAAAGACAAGGAGAAGAAGAAGAAGAAGAAGGGAGGUCAGAGAAGGACAACGAGCGCAUCCAGCGCUACGGAGGAUGCAGAGCGGAGGAGCGAAGGAGGGGUGGAGGCGGUGGAGGCGGUGGAGGCCACAGGAAGCCAAACGGAGGAGCGCGGCCCCGUAGAAGCUCAGCAUGUGGGUGAAGACGGCGUGCAGGAUGUGAGAGAACGGCGCCCCCCGGACGCCAACAUGGUGCCGGCUCAGACCCAAACACGGAGACACAAAGGGGCAAACAAGCACACGCAAACUGCACCCGUCUCCCAGAGGAGCCAGGGGACGCAGACCGAGUCCUCCGGGGCAGAGACAGGCCUCGAGAAGACAAAGAGGAGCGAGGAGACAACUGCGGACAGAGGGGGGGACGCCGCUCCGACGCCGCUACAGCAGAACGAGCCGGCGGCGUCUCGGACCCCCGACCGGGAGGCCGGGCCUGAGGAGGAGAGCCCCGCAGCGAAGUCCUACGCCAAAGCGGUGUCUGGAGAGGGAGGGCGCGAGGCCUCCAGGGCGCCAGACAAAGACACGGGACCGCUUCCACGCACUCGGUACGCCGCACGCCGCAGCGCCUCUUUAUGAAUGCAGAGCCGUCCGCUCUCAGAGAGGAAACAUGACUCACGAUGGUUUCUUCUCCGCCCACCUCCACCUGUCAGCUGCAGCACCUUCCUGAAGGGAACACAUUUAGGGUGAAAGCGUUCGGUUUGACCAUGUGACCUCAGAUGCACGUAACACUAUUCUCUCUCCCACCAGCGAGCGGAGCCCGGUGAAAGCUCCGCCUUCUGCUCCGACCUUCACCUUCCACAUCCACGCCGUGCUGGACAAGAAGUUCAACUUCAAGCAGGAGCGCGACGGCUUCCUGCUGUGUUACGAUGGAGGGUUUUCACCUCUGAGGACGACGCAGUCCGUGUGAGUGUUUAACUGCGUUCAGGUUUCUUCAUUACAGCAGUAAAUACAAAAUACAAUACAAAAGUAAAGGAUGCUUUAGGGCGGGGCUACACGCUGAUUGACAGGUGUGCCAGAGACGCAGACGGCGUCUCCACGUCCUGCUCAGUACAGUUAAGGCAAGGCAAGUUUAUUUGUAUAGCGCUUUUCAUACACGAGGCAGACUCA